GGGGCAGUACCCAAGUGGCCGAAGGGAGCAGUCUUGAAAACUGCGAGGGGCGAAAGCCCGCAGGGGUUCAAAUCCUCUCUGCUCCGCCA
rnacentral:tRNA from 1 species